UACGUAGGGGCAAGCGUUAUCCGGAUUUACUGGGUGUAAAGGGAGCGCAGACGGAACUGCAAGUCUGAUGUGAAAGCCCGGGGCUCAACCGCGGGACUGCAUCGGAUACUGUGGAUCUGGAGUGCCGGAGGGGCAAGCGGAAUUCCUGGUGUAGCGGUGAAAUGCGUAGAUAUUAGGAGGAACACCGGCGGCGAAGGCGGCUUGCUGGACGGCAACUGACGUUGAGGCUCGAAAGCGUGGGGAGCAAACAGGAUUAGAUAUCCCGGUAGU
rnacentral:rRNA from 1 species